AUGAAAAGAAGGACUGACCUGAAAUGCUUGAAUAUUUGUGUCUAUCUGAGUAAGAAGCCGAUUAUUUUCUUCCAGUACAAGCUGUACUAUACGAUCCAUCUCCGAGGCUACAUGGCGGAAAAGAUGGUCAGUUUAUGGAACAAGGAUCGAAACAAAUGGAAAGCACUAGCUGAAUCUCGUCGACCAUCAGGAUCUCUGAACCUGCAUAUUAUAUUUGAAGUUCAGGAGGAAAUGGCUUGUGAUCUUACAGUAAGUUUCAACCCCGUUAAAUACCACACGGUUGGCGGUCUAUAUAACCCCAAGUUUGGCGAAACAGGUUCGACAUAUCCACAGAUACUCAAUGUUCACACUUCACAGAUCGAUUUUCUAAUAUGA
rnacentral:rRNA from 1 species